UUUUUUUUCACAGAUGGCGCCACCACCAAAAAAUGUUUCCGAGAUUUAUUAUUUCUUGAAAAUCUUUUGCUUCAAGCACUGCUUCGUAAUGUUGGUGAGUACAGGGGUGAAGAAUGGGCAAC
rnacentral:lncRNA from 1 species